rnacentral:rRNA from 1 species
CCUGAGAAACCCAAAAGAUCGAAUGGGGAGAUUCAUCGUCAGCGAUACUGGUACGUGUGCGGUUCGUGAUGCCGGGGACCUCGGUCCCGUGGCACGCGUCCGCAUGGUUUUAUUGCCGGUUGUCGUCGGCGUGCACUUCUCCCCUAGUAGGACGUCGCGACCCGUUGGGUGUCGGUCUACGGCCCGGGUGGGCGCCUGUCGUGUGUCACGCUUCACGGCGUCAUGCGGCAGACCCCCGGUUGUCCGACCGGCUGCCCGGCGGUACUCGCACGGUAUCGGGCCGCAAAUUCGAACUGCGUCCGGCCCGCCGCAAGCGAGGUCAGUGUUUCCCGGAUGUACGGACCUAGCGCCGUCACCGGGCCUGGCCAGCUGUUGGUCG